AGAGUUUGAUCCUGGCUCAGGAUAAACGCUGGCGGCGUGCCUAACACAUGCAAGUCGAACGCUCUUUGCAAGAAGAGAGUGGCGGACGGGUGAGGAACACGUGGGUUAUCUACCUUGAGGUGAGGAAUACCGGCGAGAAAUCGCCGACAAAACCGCAUACGCUUCGAGAGAAGCAAAGUCGCAAGACGCCCCAAGAUGAG
rnacentral:rRNA from 1 species